GAUGAAGAACGUAGCGAAAUGCGAUAAGUAAUGUGAAUUGCAGAAUUCAGUGAAUCAUCGAAUCUUUGAACGCACAUUGCGCCCCUUGGUAUUCCGAGGGGCAUGCCUGUUCGAGCGUCAUAUUAACCACUCCCGCUUGCGGGGUCUUGGGCUUCGCCUCCGGGCGGGCCUUAAAAUCAGUGGCGGUGCCGUCGGGCUCUACGCGUAGUAAAUUUUCUCGCGAUAGGGUCCCGGUGGAUGCUUGCCAACCACCCCCAACCUCUUAAGGUUGACCUCGGAUCAGGUAGGGAUACCCGCUGAACUUAAGCAUAUCAAUAAGCGGAGGA
rnacentral:misc_RNA from 1 species